AACGAACGCUGGCGGCAGGCCUAACACAUGCAAGUCGAACGGCAGCACAGUGGAGCUUGCUCCAUGGGUGGCGAGUGGCGGACGGGUGAGGAAUACAUCGGAAUCUGCCCAGUCGUGGGGGAUAACAUAGGGAAACUCAUGCUAAUACCGCAUACGACCUACGGGUGAAAGCGGGGGAUCGCAAGACCUCGCGCGAUUGGAUGAGCCGAUGUCCGAUUAGCUAGUUGGCGGGGUAAUGGCCCACCAAGGCGACGAUCGGUAGCCGGGCUGAGGGGCUGAUCAGCCACACUGGAACUCAGACACGGACCGGACUCCUACGGGAGGCGACAGUGGGGAAUCUUGGACAAUGGGCGCAAGCCUGAUCCAGCCAUGCCGCGUGGGUGAAGAAGGCCUUCGGGUUGUAAAGCCCUUUUGUCCGGAAAGAAACGCCUCGGAUUAAUACUCUGGGGUAAUGACGGUACCGGAAGAAUAAGCACCGGCUAACUUCGUGCCAGCCGCCGCCGUAACAC
rnacentral:rRNA from 1 species